AAUUAGAAAAAAAAAAUGUCGUUUUUGUAAUUUUGUGCAAUACGAAAAGUUACUUUUGAUCGACCGUCCCUAACACAUGCAGAUGGGAAAGGACUUAUUGGUUAGUAUUCAAGAUCCUAAAUUCGAAGCCUAAUUACUUUAUAUUUUCGGUUAGAUUUAUUUUUAAAAAAAUUGAACGGAAACGAAUAGAAUGCUACUUUUCCGCACGAAUG
rnacentral:lncRNA from 1 species